rnacentral:rRNA from 1 species
AUAUCAAUAAGCGGAGGAAAAGAAACUAACAAGGAUUCCCCUAGUAACUGCGAGUGAAGCGGGAAAAGCUCAAAUUUAAAAUCUGGUGGUCUCUGGCCAUCCGAGUUGUAAUCUAGAGAAGUGCUAUCCGCUGCUGGACCGUGCUACAAGUUUCCUGGAACGGAGCGUCAUAGAGGGUGAGAAUCCCGUCUCUGGACACGGAUGCACCAGGUGCAUUUUGUGAUGCGCUCUCGAAGAGUCGAGUUGUUUGGGAAUGCAGCUCAAAAUGGGUGGUGAACUCCAUCUAAAGCUAAAUAUUGGCGAGAGACCGAUAGCGAACAAGUACCGUGAGGGAAAGAUGAAAAGCACUUUGGAAAGAGAGUGAAACAGUAC